CCUCUCCCUCCCCUAAAGCCCCCUCCUCUGUUUUCACCCACACCAGCCCCUUCAUUUCUACUCCCUCUCCCCAGCCCCUGCUCCCUCACCUCCUAGUUUCUGAAUCGAAAUCACCUUGGCCUCCAGACGGGAAGCUACCUGGAGGCCCUUGGUGCCUUCCUGGGCAAUCCAAUCAGAGGUCAUUCUAGGAGCAGGAACCCUCAAGGUCAGCCUCCACCUUCCCGACUUCAGAACCCCUUGCCGUCCCGACCCCCGCACCAUCCUGCCUCUGUGAGCCUGCCCGAGCCUGUGCCUGAGGAAGGGCCGGCAGCACCUGGGCCCCUGCCUCUGUAGCGGUUGAGAGGAGCAGAAGCUCUGCCUGACACUGGGCUGACCCUCCUUUCCCGACCAUGUCCACAGGAAGGCUCCUCAGAAAGGAGGAAGACCACAGAGGUGAAGCACCAUUCUCAUCACAUCAGAUCAAGGGUACAUCCUAUCGACAUGACCUACUACUGUUGAUGCUGACCUUGAUCACCUGGCUAAGUUUUCAAAAAUAGCAGAGCCCACUUUCUGCACCCUCCAGCGGAUACCUAUCUGGAAACAAAAGGCGGAGUCUGAAAGAGGGGCAAGGACUUGGCUGGCCGGGGACUAUGGGAAAGACUCAAGAGGAGGGACAGAGGUGCCUACACCUCCCUCCGCCCCCACCUAAAACUUCUUAGCUUCAGAUAACACCCUUUUGUUCUCCUUGUGACUCCACACCCAUGGGGAGAGGGAAUGAGGAAACCUUCGGGGAAGUGCCACCUAUCUGAUGAAGGGAAUCCUCCAGGGAAGCGAUGAAGAGACUGAGACGCCAAGAGAUUGAGCAACAUCGUGUUCGAGGUUACAGUACAUGCGCGGCAAAGCUGGGACCUGAACCCAGAUGUUCUGGCUGCGAAAUCCACAAGAUCUGACCACACCAGAGAUUCGCAGUAAAUGUCCUUUGACUCUGCAGAUCAGCAUCACCUGGGAACCUGAUAGAAAUGCAGAUUGUCGGGCCCCACCCCAGACCUGCUGAAUCAGACGAGGGUAGGCCCAGCAGUCUGUGCGUUAACCAGCCUUGCAGGGGAUUCCGCUGCACGCUCGAGUUAGAGAACACCAGCCUACACUGUAGCUGCUCCAGCGGCUUCCCUGGAGCCAGAGGAGGGCGCUCCAAGGCCAACUUUCACCCUUAAACAGUCGUGGCAUCUGGGAGGGGCAGGGGUAGCAGGUUGGGGUGGAAGGGAAGAAAACGCCUGGACUGGGAGUUAGAAGCCAGAGUUCUAGUCCCACCAGUUUUGCAGUUAUUGGCUGAGUGAUUUUGAGCACCUCUCUGGGACUCAGUUUUCUCAUCUGUAAAAUGAGAUGUUGAUUAAAUGAUCUCAUCUCUGAUUUCCCUUUACAUUAUGUUGUCCAGCUCUCCUUUGGAAUUUGGUGUCUCUGCCAGGAAUGGAAUGAAGACAGUAUGAGUGCUCAUUUUUAAUGGAUUUUUCCCAUACUUGGAAAUUAAUAGCCCCCAAUUCCAAAUCCUCAGACCAGCUAUCCUCUACCUCCUUCCUUAGGGGCAGAAAGUGAGAGCAAACGUUGGAGUUGACUGGUGAAACCAUUAAGCAAAAAAUAGAAAAGCAUUUGAUGGUGUUGGUUGGGACUUCCCUCCGCUACCUGGGGCUCCUUCAUGUGGGCCUUUUCCCUGAUCCCUCAACAGUCACCUGCUUCCCCACUGUGACUCUGCCAGACCCCUUUGCCCACAGACCAUCUCCCUGUCACCCCAGAACUCACGUCCUUUCCCUGCUCCUUUCUAUGGGGUUGCCCGAUUCAUAGGCUCUUGCUUCCCCAACAUUCUUCAGAGGAGGGAGAGGGGUGAUGUGUCAGGGUGACUUACUAGGUGUGCUAGGGGCUUGGUGGCCUGAUGAGGAGCCCCACGGACACACUGAAGCCCUAUCCUACUGGUUUCGUGUGGACCUGAGGGCCCUCCCCAGGGCGCACCUCAGAUGAGGUAGGGCUGUACCCACAGGGUACCCGGUGGGCCCAGCAUUGGACUGGCAGCUGGAAAACCUGUCCACAUCGGGCUGGAAAGAAGGAAGAAUGCUUCUUGCCCCUUUGAGAUGAUUAUGAAAAUUUGAGACAAGUAAUGGCAUCGUAAAAGUAGAGACCUGAAUCAGAAAGGUGGGUAGAAGAAUUUUAACCACUCAGGACCCGGGUGUCAGCAAGAGAACAUGGCUAAACUCUCAAGUCCUCAGCGGCAGUUUUAGAAGUUGGUCAAAGAACCUGUCCCCUUCAGCAAAACCACACAUGCCCGAUAAACAGCCCGAGUGUCUGUCAAAUCAGUAUCACGCUCAGAGAGAGACUUUCGGGAUGGUUUCCAGAGUCCAGGAAAAGCCUUAAAACGCAGGACAGAGGUGUUGCCAGCAGCCUUGGGUUAAAAGCCAAAGAAAGUGGUUAUUAAACAAGGCCCCUGGAAGAGCUGGAGCCAGCGUAGACUGGUCAUCAGCUGAAACUCACUGAGGCUGCUCUUUCAGCUGCAAGUGACCCUCUCGGAGAGGCUGCCUACGUCCUGGAUAGAGCAUCAAUGAAGCUCCACAUUAAUGAAGAAUAUGUCUGCACUCCAAACUUAUCGAACUGUGUACAUUAAAUAUCUUCAGCUUUUGUAUCAAUCAUGUCUCAAUAAAGUGGUUUUAAAAGAAAGAAUAUGUGUGUGAAUUUGUGUGUGGUUAUGGCUUCUAAUAUACCCUUUCUAUCAACUCACAUUCUCAACAGUUAUUGAUCUCAACCCAGUGCCGUGGAGCCUCGUGUUAACACCUUCGGUGGAUGGCUGCUCUCUUUGCCCGUUCUGAGCCUCCCACGGUGGGCCUGGUGGUUGAGUUCAGCCUGGAACCUGGGACCUGCCUCAGUGGCCCUGGACUUCCCGGGAUCAGCAGGGCUUGAAGGCCUAGGGAAGAUGGAGGCAUAAGUCAGGCUUCCUGGGACUGCUCCAGAAGGGCUCUCUCUCCCUCAGUCUGCUCCUCUCCCAGCUCGGCCUGAAAUGGGCCUGCUCUCCUGAAAGACUUGGAUUAAAGACUUGGAUUCUGCAUAUGUUCAGGAUGGGUUUCAACCUCGCUCCUUAGAGUCUCCUAAGCAGCCUACUCUCUAGCUUAUACGACUUCACAGACCACUGAGCACUCAUUUCUGAGGCUGUCUUCCAUCCAAAGACUGGCCAAGUCUGAACACAUUGGUCCUCUAGCUGUCCCUGAGGUUGUGCAGGAGAGAGGAGACGUGGGCUGUAGUCUGAACAAGCUGAUGCAGUCUAGCUCUGGGCCUUUGGCAGGUCGUUGUGCUUCUCUGGGCCUCAAUUUUAUCAUCUUUAAAAUGGGAGUGUUGUUUCAGCUACCCUCUGUGGUCUUCCACCUCUAACAUUCUAAAAUUCUAGAGCCCAUCUUGGCCAAAACAGAAGGCUCAGAGGUCCUGUGCAUCACCCCACACAUGCCCAGGGAGAGGUAGACGGGGAGUACGUGCAGUAUCAGGACAGAGGAGAGGACUCGGCCAGAUGAGUACUUUCCCUUCAUGGACUUGGAUUUGAGAAGCGCCUGUUGGGUGGGGCCUGGCUGGAAGGAGUGAGACAGUCUCCCUCAGACCUCCCCCUGCCUGAGCGGUUGCCUCAGAGGCUGUUACUUAACUCUCCUUACCACUUUCCAGGGUGGGGCAGGGAAGGGCAGAUGGGAGCCGCUGAUGCAAUAGGCAGACGCAAGCCUGUGUUGUUCUUCGAAGACGAAGCAAAGGUCAGCUGGGCUGGGUCUGGCCAACUGGGCUGCAGCUGCAAGGCCCUGCACUUUGCAGAGUUUCAUCUUCCUCUUCUCUCCUUGACUCUUUCCCCUUUUAACUUAAGUAGGGUUCACUCUCUGGUCGUCAGAGCGAGUAAUUGAUACUUUGUGUUAGGAUUUACACACAGCCAUUCACUUGUGCUCUUUAACCUCUAGUGGAAGAGAAUAUCCUUGCCUACUAGGAAUGCACAUGUUCACAUGUAUGGACACACACAUGCUACACACACCACACACACCCCAAACACACCCACACCACACACACACACACAGUGGAGGCACUCAGAAAUGGGAUGGUUGUUCUGAGAAUCUGCUCCCACCAGACCGUUUUCCCCACGAGAUCUUCCAGGAGGAAGCGGAUCCAAUCAGAGGAUCAGAGAGCAUCAGAAGAUCUGGAAAUUUCCUUUGUAUAGCCAAAGCUUCAAAAUAUCCCGUAGGGUAUGCCAUUUCUAUGCAAGGCCCCAUCGAUCAAAUAUGAAUGAGACUCCAGGCUAGUUUCCCAUCUCCCGGGGAUCUGGAUGCCCAGAACACAAUAACUUUUAAUCUUUUAAGUUAAAAAAAAUAAUAAUAAAGAGUCUGUGAGGGGGAAAAAAAGAGUAGGUGCAUCCAGACCUUGAUAAAAGGAAAAUUGCUAAAUAUUGCACUCAAGCUACCUUAACAAUGAACAACUACACUUCCAUCAUAAAUUGCAAAGAAGUUGUCUUAUCAAAUCCAUGCUUCAAGGCUGCACAUUCCUUGCCAGAGGCUCUGGAAGAAAAGUCUAGUCCAGGUGGGCCCUACGGCACUCAUUAUUGUAAUCAUCAUAAUUUACUUUGUACUUACUAUGCGCCGGGCCCUGUGCUAUGUGAUUAACAUGAAUUACCACAUUUCAUCCUCACAAAAACCCUAUGACAUAGAGUCUCUUAUUAUCCCUAUUUUACAGAUGCAGAAACUGAGGCACAAAACCUUAAGAAAAUUGCCCAAGGUUACAGAGCUAGUAAGUGGUAGAGCCAAGGGGUCGAUGUGGUUCACCUGAGUCUGGAGCCUAUGCUCGUAACCAUCUGGAAAACUCAUAUACAAACAGAAGAUUUAAGUGGGAUAGAACCCUUCAAGUUACAAAAGGAUUCACCAGAACGUUCUCUAAAUCCCAAAUUCCUCUAUAGCUUCAGUCAAUAAAAUCUGUAAUUUUAUUUUACGGAGUUUGUUUUAUGUCCAAAUAUAAGGAGCUCGUUUUUAAAUGUAAAAUAUAGACUUUUGCUCUCUGGGAAGGGUGACGCCUAAGCCUUCCAUCACGUCAGUUAAUUCUGAUAUGAUUAAUUCUGUUAAUAGUUAACUAUUGACUUAUUAGUACUGAAUAACUAAAUUUAGAAAGGAGCUUUGAGCAAGAUAGUUUAAAAUUUAAGUAUGAAUUUUAUAGUUAUACAUUUGUUUGUAUAUAUUCACACAGAAUUGAAUUUAAUCAAAUGGAUACGCUGAAAGAGUGAAAUUCUAGAGUUAUCAUAGCAGAGCGGGAGUUGGGGGUUUUCUUCUUGAAUCAGCCAUCAACUUGAUUUAUAGAUGUUUUAUCUCAUUAACCUUUAUGUCGUGGAGCUAAUUAGUGACUCUGGAAACUGCAAAACACACUCGAAGCAAUUGCAUACCUCUUCAACUCCACCCUCCACCAAAUUAAAUUGGACCCAAUUAUUCCGAAUCAUAGAAGACGUUUUUGAAAGGCUUUGCCUCCUUCAUCUGAAAUGGCUCCCUGGAAUGAAAAUCAAACCUGAUGUGGAUUCUGAUUUUCUCUUUUAGCCGCACACCAUAUUACAUCAAAACCAUUUGAAUCCUUCAGAAGCUCUAGCUUCAGAGAGAAAGAAACAUGUGCAGAUUGUUGUGAUUCUCCCUGUCUGGGUAAAGUUGUCCCAGGACCCUGUGGAGCAUCCUGAGGAUCUUGCUGCCUGCCUUCUGCCUGCUGAUGCACCUGGCAGCUUGGGGGACUGCGUGCUGGGCAGGAACCAUCUUUCAAAGCCUCUGGAGAAGUUGCAGAGACACUCACAGGAUUGUCCCUCUGUGGGACCGGGCUCUCUGGGACAGUUAGAAUUAGGUUGAGGAUGAGGUUAGCGGGGAGGAAGCAGUGAGGGAAAAUUAUUAUUCCUUUGAAAAUAGUUAUUCAGGGGAACUUCGCCAUGGCUGGUAUGGCCAUUAACAUGUCAUUUUACCAGACGUGGAAGCCAGCCCAAGGCAGAGGUAGGCGAGCCCUUGGGAAUGCACACUUACUGUUUACUCAGUUCAUUUGCGGGAAUCAAGAAAAUGCUACUGCCUGAUGAGAAAAAGACACUGCUUUAGAAGGCACUCUCCCAUGUUCACAGUAUGUUUAAAAUAAUUGCUAGGAGAAAGGGCCCGGCGUUUUGAAGAAUCUGUCAGAAAUCUUCAGCCUAACUUGUUCCUAGGGCAGGAUGAGAAUGGAUUUAUUUAGGCUGAAAUCCUAACUUCUACUGUCAAGGUUAUCCAGAAAGUCUGGAUAAUGCUACACACAGGAAAAACAAAAGAAACAUUUUCUUUUCUAGGCUGGCUCCCCUGAAGACGAGGAAUAAAAUCACUACAAAUAUGAGUUAUUGAUCCCUUCCUCUAAGGCUAGUUAAUAACAAACAGUGUUUGUUCUUUGUAGGAUUUAAUGUUUCCCCAACUGCUUAUAUCACAUGGAUUUUGGACUUUAUCUACAAGAGCCAUACUGGUUACCUUUGACUGCAGGAUAUGUCUUACUGACAUCUGUUUUAAAUGGAGGAGAGAGAAGAGUGCUAGAAUUGAUCCUGAAUGUAUUAAAUUCUGCCCAUUUUAAACAUGUUUGAGGCAGCUUCAUGAAAUCACUCCUAUAGAACAGAUGAGUUCUUUUUGGAGCUGGGACUUCUCUGUCACCCACGUCCCCACUGGUUGGCUCAGUCCCUGGUUCUUAUCGCAGACCUACCUGAGAAGGCCAGUGUAUUUUCUUGGCUGUAUUUCCACAUAGCCUUUUAAUCUUCACAGAUGAGACAACUUGACACACUUCUGUCUCACAUGGCAGUGAAUUCUUCUCUCUGCCAGCAUCAGGAUCAAUCUUGUCCUGGGCAGAGGGCUAGAAAGACCUUGGCCCUAGUAGGCAGCAUCAAGUAAUGAUGGUUACUGGCCUCACUCUAGCCUCAUGCUCUGGCUCCAGAAACUGGACUCUUACCUCACCCAUUUGCUUGACAAAUAUUUGUUGAGCACCUAUUAUGUGGCAGGACCACAAGUAUGGCAGUAACUAAAACACAUGGAAACCCCUGCGCUUCCCUAACUUCAACUCUGUUUUAAGGAACUGAGUUUUGUCCUUUCAUUCCCAAGUUUCAACCUGGUUCCCUGAUCAGUAAGUCACUUCUUCUAGAACAAUGUUUCUCAAACUUUAACGUGCAUA